rnacentral:rRNA from 1 species
AUUGAACGCUGGCGGCAUGCUUUACACAUGCAAGUCGAACGGUAACAGGCCUUCGGGUGCUGACGAGUGGCGAACGGGUGAGUAAUGCAUCGGAACGUGCCCAGAGGUGGGGGAUAACGCAGCGAAAGCUGUGCUAAUACCGCAUGUGAUCUGAGGAUGAAAGCGGGGGACCAGGCAGCAAUGUUUGGCCUCGCGCCUUUGGAGCGGCCGAUGUCAGAUUAGGUAGUUGGUGGGGUAAAGGCCUACCAAGCCGACGAUCUGUAGCUGGUCUGAGAGGACGACCAGCCACACUGGGACUGAGACACGGCCCAGACUCCUACGGGAGGCAGCAGUGGGGAAUUUUGGACAAUGGGCGCAAGCCUGAUCCAGCAAUGCCGCGGGCGGGAAGAAGGCCUUCGGGUUGUAAACCGCUUUUGUACGGAACGAAAAGGCUCUGGCUAAUACCUGGGGCUGAUGACGGUACCGUAAGAAUAAGCACCGGCUAACUACGU